rnacentral:rRNA from 1 species
GACGAACGCUGGCGGCGUGCUUAACACAUGCAAGUCGAACGGGCCUUGUCCCCUUUUUUUUUGGGGGUGGGGUUAGUGGCGAACGGGUGAGUAACACGUGAGUAACCUGCCCCUCACUUCUGGAUAACCGCUUGAAAGGGCGGCUAAUACGGGGUGUUCUGGCCUGCUCGCAUGGGUGGGUUUGGAAAGAUUCGACCGGUUUUGGUUGUUUUGGUGGGGGAUGGGCUCGCGGCCUAUCAGCUUGUUGGUGGGGUGAUGGCCUGCCAAGGCUUUGACGGGUAGCCGGCCUGAGAGGGUGGGCGGUCACACUGGGACUGAGACACGGCCCAGACUCCUACGGGAGGCAGCAGUGGGGAAUAUUGCACAAUGGGCGCAAGCCUGAUGCAGCAACGCCGCGUGAGGGAUGGAGGCCUUCGGGUUGUGAACCUCUUUCGCCAGUGAAGAAGGUCCUGCUCUUUGUGGUGGGGUUGACGGUAGCUGGGUUAAUGAAGCGCCGGCUAACUACGUG